UGGGAAGCUAAGGGACAUGUAAAAGACCCUGGUCUGGUGAAAAGAGGUGGAUGGAGUGGGCCUGUGCAGUCAAAAACAAAACAAAAGAAGUCAUUUGGUUCAGCUGCAAAACAAUGACAGGAACAUAGCCAGCACUGCUGACAUUAGGAAACAAUCACAAUGAUCAUGAUGCACCCAAGGCCCAUUGCAGAUUUAUAAAGGACCUUGUGAGUCAGAUCCUAAGCCUAAAUUUGCAAACAGGCACAGAACACGAAGAGCAUACUGGAAUGCAUGGCAGCUG